GACGUAGGGGGCGAGCGUUGUCCGGAUUUAUUGGGCGUAAAGCGUGCGUAGGCGGCUGCGCAAGUCGGUUGUGAAACCCCGGGGCUCAACCCCGGAACUGCAUCCGAUACUGCGUGGCUAGAGGUAGGUAGGGGAGAUCGGAAUUCCUGGUGUAGCGGUGAAAUGACGCAGAUAUCAGGAGGAACACCGGUGGCGAAGGCGGAUCUCUGGGCCUUACCUGACGCUCAGGCACGAAAGCUAGGGGAGCGAACAGG
rnacentral:rRNA from 1 species